UACGUAGGGUGCAAGCGUUGUCCGGAAUUAUUGGGCGUAAAGAGCUUGUAGGCGGUUUGUCGCGUCUGCUGUGAAAUUUCGGGGCUCAACCCCGAACUUGCAGUGGGUACGGGCAGACUAGAGUGUGGUAGGGGAGACUGGAAUUCCUGGUGUAGCGGUGAAAUGCGCAGAUAUCAGGAGGAACACCGGUGGCGGAAGGCGGCGCCCGUGGCUCGCAACUGACGCUCAGACACGACAGCAUGGGGAGCGAACGGG
rnacentral:rRNA from 1 species